GCAGCCGUGUUUCCCUGUGGACCAGACGCUGCCUACACGGGUGGGGACGCUAGUCGCUGCCGGGGCCAAGCUGCCGACGACUCCAGAAAGAAGGGCGAAAGAUAGAUUGACUGUAAACUAAGUGCUGUAAGGGAAACCAGAGGCAGCUGAAAGUAACAGCGAAUGAAGCCAGGACCCUGGAUUCUGACCUCGGACCUGUUCUGAGAGGCUGUUUGGUGCAGGACUCCCACCUGCGGGUAUCAUAGUCCAGGGUGAGGCCGUUGGGCCAGCCCAGGUCUGUGUUGAUGAGGACCUUCCGCUCAGAACCGUCCAGGUUCGCUCGUUCGAUCUUGGCAAUGUGGCCCCAGUCUGUCCAGAAGAGGUAC